rnacentral:rRNA from 1 species
AGAAGGGAGCUUGCUCCCGGAUGUUAGCGGCGGACGGGUGAGUAACACGUGGGUAACCUGCCUGUAAGACUGGGAUAACUCCGGGAAACCGGAGCUAAUACCGGAUAGUUCCUUGAACCGCAUGGUUCAAGGAUGAAAGACGGUUUCGGCUGUCACUUACAGAUGGACCCGCGGCGCAUUAGCUAGUUGGUGGGGUAAUGGCUCACCAAGGCGACGAUGCGUAGCCGACCUGAGAGGGUGAUCGGCCACACUGGGACUGAGACACGGCCCAGACUCCUACGGGAGGCAGCAGUAGGGAAUCUUCCGCAAUGGACGAAAGUCUGACGGAGCAACGCCGCGUGAGUGAUGAAGGUUUUCGGAUCGUAAAGCUCUGUUGUUAGGGAAGAACAAGUGCGAGAGUAACUGCUCGCACCUUGACGGUACCUAACCAGAAAGCCACGGCUAACUACGUGCCAGCAGCCGCGGUAAUACGUAGGUGGCAAGCGUUGUCCGG